GCGGAUGGCCAGGCGGUCGCGCUGCCCUUCGGGGCGGUGAGGAACGUCCGGACUUCACGGAGAAACGGCGCCGGAUAACGUCCGGCCGGGGUAACCCGAGGGAAAGCGCCACAGAGAACAGACCGCCCCGGGUUCGCCCGGGGUAAGGGUGAAACGGUGGGGUAAGAGCCCACCGCCCCCCUGGCAACAGGGGGGGCAUGGCAAGCCCCGCCGGAAGCAAGGCCGAAUAGGGACUGCACGCCGCCCGCGAGGGAGGCAGGGGGUCUCCGCCCCGCGGUCCGGGUUGGCUGCCCGAGCCGGAUGGUGACAUCCGGCCCAGAUGAAUGAUCGCCCGGGAGGCCUCGGCCUCCCCGACAAAAUCCGGCGUAUCGGCCAUCCGCGCAA
rnacentral:RNase_P_RNA from 1 species